CUACGGGGGGCUGCAGUGAGGAAUAUUGCACAAUGGGGGGAACCCUGAUGUAGCAACGCCGCGUGGAGGAUGACGCAUUUCGGUGUGUAAACUCCUUUUAUAUGUCAAGAAAAUGACGGUAGCAUAUGAAUAAGCACCGGCUAACUCCGUGCCAGCAGCCGCGGUAAUACGGAGGGUGCAAGCGUUACUCGGAAUCACUGGGCGUAAAGGACGCGUAGGCGGGUUGGAAAGUCAGGUGUGAAAUCCUACAGCUUAACUGUAGAACUGCACUUGAAACUUCUAAUCUAGAGUAUGGGAGGGGGGGAUGGAAUUAGUGGUGUAGGGGUAAAAUCCGUAGAUAUCACUAGGAAUACCUAAAGCGAAGGCGAUCUCCUGGAACAUUACUGACGCUAAGGCGUGAAAGCGUGGGGAGCAAACAGGAUUAGAUACCCCUGUAGUC
rnacentral:rRNA from 1 species